AUAGUUAACUUUGAAACUGCGAAUGGCUCAUUAUAUCAGUUAUAGUUUAUUUGAUGAAGAAUACUAAUUGGAUAACCGUAGUAAUUCUAGAGCUAAUACAUGUAUAAAGUCUUGUAGACUGCAUUUAUUAGAAUGAAAACCAUAGGUUUCGGCCUAUUCGUGAGUAAUAAUAACUAAUCAUAUCGUAUGCUUAUGUAACGAUGUGUCUUUCAAGUUUCUGCCCUAUCAGCUUUCGAUGGUAGUGU
rnacentral:rRNA from 1 species